CCGCUGCGGCUGCUCUCUUGUCCCACAAUGGCUGCUGCUCCGCUCCGCUCCGUACUCCGCCGCAAUGGCCUUCUGCCCUUGUUCGAAACCUGCCGCCUUCGAGAUCUCCUCUUCUUCUCCUCCUCCUCUGUCGACGCUGCCGCCAUCGCCGUAGGCGGCACCAUGUCUCUAGAUCCCCAGUUCAUGGUGGAAUACCUCGUGAACUCCUGCGGGUUCUCCCCCUCCGAGGUCCGAGGCAGCAAAGGUCUCUAAACCCCUCGCGCACCUCCGAGCCACCGAGAAACCCGACGCCGUCCUUAACUUCAUGAGAUCUCAGGGCUUCGAUGGCGCCGGUAUCAGGAAGGUGAUAUCUUCGAGACCCAAUUACCUUUGCUGCAACGUGGAGAAGAACCUCGCCCCGAAGUUUCAGUUCUUACGCGAUUUGGGCCUAUCGGAGUCUGACAUCGUCGAUGUCAUCCGGAAUAACGAUGACAUCCUCCGCCGCAACGUUCACCGUUCCUUGGCCCCCAAAUUGGAGAUAUGGGAAAGUCUCUUGGGAUCGAGAGAGCUCGUUCUCAAGCAUCUCAAGAAGUCAGGAUGGUUUUUCUUCUCCAGCGUUGAGAAGACAUUGCAUCCUAACCUAAAGUUCUUGAGGGAUGAGUGCGGCAGUCCUGAAGAAAGGCUCUCUCUCGUCUUGAGAAGUCAGCCACAAUUAAUCACAAAUAAACCAAAGUCACUCCGAGCUUUGGUGGCGAAAGCCGAUGAGCUGGGGAUACCACGGCAAUCUCGGAUGUUCGUGUGGACACUUGAUGUUCUCCAAAUGGUAAGCAAAGAAAGGUUCGAGGCCAAGUUCGAGCUCAUGAGGAGCUUCGGGUGGUCGGAGUCGGAGUUUUCUUCUGCAGUCAGGAAAGCACCCACCUUCUUACGCAUGUCCCUCGACAUGAUGCGCAGAAAAAUGGAAUUUUUUAUCAAUAUAGUCGGGUGCACCCCUUCCUUCAUCGCCUCCCAACUAACUAUCUUGCUAUAUGGUCUGCAGAAGAGGAUACCAAAUUCAUGGAAAAGUUUGUUCUCCCUCACAAAGAAAAUGUUCCUGAGCUGCUUGAUAUUUUGAGAGUUGCUGGCACCUGGAAAGGAAAUGAUACCUUGCAUUUGGCAUCGGAGGAUGAGGAAGGGCUUAGCUGAUGAUCUAAUUUGUGACGACGAAGUAUGCAGUGGCUUCAAUGGAAUUUGAAAGACCAGUUGCACUGGGUUGAUCAGGAGUCACCAGCUCUUCUGAAAUGUCUUCAACCUCCUUUGGAAUCGCUAAAGCUUUUCCCGCAUCAACAAACUCUUCCAUCCCUCCAUAGGAUUCUGCUCGUCCACCCUUUGUGAUUCCAGGUGCAGAUCUCUUCAUUCUUGGAGUUCAUCCUUGGAUUUGGUGGAUGCAACUUCUCAUCGUCAUAGCUGAAGCUUCUGCUCUACUUGAAAGCCUUAAGAAGGCUGCACAACUAAAUUUCUCCAACAUCUGAAUCGAACUAAUUCCCUUGAGUUAGUCAAUUCGCUGGUUCCUUCUUUUAUUUCUUUGUUCAAGUCUUUAUGUUGUCGAUGUGGUCCAUGUUUCCCGCAUCAUGAAAGGCGUGGUCCAUUGGCUAGUCAAUCUUGGAUAGACUGUAAAUUCUCUAUGUUUUUUUGGGUCUUGUAAUGAUAGAUCAGUCUAGCUCAGUAUCUAAUCCACUUUAAUCUUUAAUGAAAUUUCUCCUUUUUCGGUA